AAUAGAUACCCAGGUAGUCCACGCCGUAAACGUUGGGAACUAGGUGUGGGUCUCAUUCCACGAGAUCCGUGCCGCAGCUAACGCAUUAAGUUCCCCGCCUGGGGAGUACGGCCGCAAGGCUAAAACUCAAAGGAAUUGACGGGGGCCCGCACAAGCGGCGGAGCAUGCGGAUUAAUUCGAUGCAACGCGAAGAACCUUACCAAGGCUUGACAUGAACCGGACCGCUGCAGAAAUGUGGUUUCCCCUUUGGGGCUGGUUUACAGGUGGUGCAUGGUUGUCGUCAGCUCGUGUCGUGAGAUGUUGGGUUAAGUCCCGCAACGAGCGCAACCCUCGUUUUGUGUUGCCAUUUUAGGGAAACUCAAAAGACUGCCGGUGAGAAGCCGGAGGAAGGUGAGGAUGACGUCAAGUCAGCAUGCCCCUUAGUCCUGGGCGACACACGUGCUACAAUGGCCGGGACAAAGAGAUGCAAAUCCCGCGAGGGUUAGCCAACCUCAAAAACCCGGGUCUCAGUUCGGAUUGCAGGCUGCAACUCGCCUGCAUG
rnacentral:rRNA from 1 species